rnacentral:rRNA from 1 species
GACGAACGCUGGCGGCGUGCCUAAUACAUGCAAGUCGAACGAAGUGGGGACGGGUGAGUAACACGUGGGUAACCUACCAUCAGAGGGGAUAACACUUGGAAACAGGUGCUAAACCGAUACUGAUGGAUGGACCCGAUGUGCAUUAGCGAGUUGAUGAGGUAACGGCACAACAAGGCAACGAGGCAUAGCCGAUCUGAGAAGGUGAUCGGCCACAAUGGGACUGAGACACGACCCAGACUCCGACGGGAGGCAGCAGUAGGGAAUCUUUGGCAAUGGACGAAAGUCUGACCGAGCAACGCGGCGAGAAUGAAGAAGAUUUUCGGAUCGUAAAGCUCUGUGAUAAGAGAGGCGGGAGCAAACCAGAAGGGGACGGCUAACUACGUGCCAGCAGCCGCGGUAAUAC